AGUGAACGCUGGCGGUGGGCUUAACACAUGCAAGUCGAACGGCAGCACAGUGAGAGCUUGCUGUUACGGGGGGGGGGUGGCGGGAGGGAGAGGAGUGUAACGGACCCUACACUUUGGGGUGGGAUAAGGAAGGGAGAGUUACGAUCAUAUCGCAUACGAUGUACGGGUGUGAGGAUGGGAUAGUCGCGCCUUGCGCGAAUGGACGCGCGGAUGACGGAUUUGCUAGUUGGGGGGGUAAUGGCCCACCAAGGCGACGAUCCGUAGCUGGUCUGAGAGGAUGGUCAGCCACACUGGAACUGAGACACGGUCCAGACUCCUACGGGAGGCAGCAGUGGGGAAUAUUGGACAAUGGGCGCAAGCCUGAUCCAGCCAUACCGCGUGGGUGAAGAAGGCCUUCGGGUUGUAAAGCCCUUUUGUUGGGAAAGAAAAGCAGCAGGUUAAUACCCCGCUGUUCUGACGGUACCCAAAGAAUAAGCACCGGCUAACUUCGUG
rnacentral:rRNA from 1 species